rnacentral:rRNA from 1 species
UGGUCGGGUGACAUCGCAAGGGAGCUCAGCAUCCCGAGGCUCGCCUUUAUUGGAUUUUGUGGCUUCUCGUCCCUGGUCAGGCACAUCACUUUUCAGACCAAUGUAUUUGAUCAUGUCAAAGAUGAAAAUGAGCUCAUCACGAUCACGGGGUUCCCUACAUCACUAGAGUUGACGAAGACUAAAUCCCCUGGAGGCCUUUCCAUUCCGGGUGCGGACCAAAUCCAUGGAAUGAUCCUUGAAGAGGUGCUGAGAUGCGAUGGUGAGGUCAUUAAAAGCUUUCAGGAGCUUGAGGCAUUGUACAUCGAAUCGUUUGAGCAGAUGACAGGAAAGAAGGCCCGGACAAGUGGGCCAAUGUGUCUCUGCCACCGAAACAACAACACAGUGGCCGCAAGAGGAAUCAAGACAUCAACGGAUGAGGCAAAUUGCUUGCAAUGCCUUGAUUCAAUGAAGCCAGGCUCAGUGGUCUUUGUCAGCUUUGGCAGCCUUGCUUGCACUACACCUAAACAGUUUGUUGAGCUGGGACUGGGACUUGAAGCCUCGCUGAAACUGUUUAUUUGGGUGAUUAAAGCAGGAGCUAAGCUUCCAGAAGUCGAGGAAUGACUCGCGGAUGGAUUCGAGGAGUGCGUCAAAGACAGAGGUCUGAUCAUAAGGGGCUGGGCGCCACAAGUGCUGAUCCUGUGGCACCAAGCCAUUGGAGGAUUUGUGGCGCACUGUGGGUGGAACUCAACAAUAGAGGGCAUUUUUGCAACUGUGCCCAUGAUCACAUGGCCACACUUUGCGGAGCAGUUUGUGAAUGAGAAGCUGGUGGUGGAUGUGCUGAAAAACGGGGAGGAGGUUGGAGUGCAAGGAGUUACACAGUGGGGAAGUGAAAACCAAGAGGUUAUGGUUACAAGAGAUGUCGUGGAGACGGUGAAGGAAAUAUGCCCUAGAGGCAAUAAUAAAGUUAUUAUUUAUUUCCUUAUAUCAUGA